CUUGACUGGCGUUCCAUUUAUAUGGGCUCUUUCCUUUUCUUUCAAGUGCAAACCAAUAACUUCUUAAUUACCAUGAUCAGUUUUCUGACUCAGGACUUAGUCACAAGUAAUGCUCUUCGUCCCUCCCUAUGAGUGCAUUUAAUGGAGAUCAAAAUCAAGAGUUAUUUUCACAUGCCAGCCUGCGUUGCUAACGGAACCACAAUCAGUAGAUAAAAUAAUAAAAUUUAAAGGGAAAAUUGGCCUGCAUGCAUGCCCAUGGUUUAUUGUCUGCCGCCGGCGGAAUGAUUGAUCGUGAUGGAUCAUGGAUGUGACAAUGUUGAUGGAAGCAUUUUUGGCCGAUACAUAUAAAAAAUAGAGAAUCAUCUCCUCGAGCUCUAGCAGAAUGGUUUUUCCAAAGAUUCAUCCCUAUACUUUCGGUCCUUUUCUUUUCCUGUCAGAUUAUAGUUUUGGCUCAACCAAACAAAGCCUUCAAAUAUAGUUAAUUGUAUCUCUCUAUCACUUCUUUUUUUCU